GUAGGAUAAGCUAAGCACACUGUUGGUUAUGUGUGCCCAAGCAUUGAGGCAGUCAAAGUAGGCAAAUCCGCUUUGAUAAUGCUGGGAUGUGAUGGGGAGCGAAAUUUAGUAGCGAAGUAGCUGAUUUCACACUGUCAAGAAAAGUCUCUAUCGAGGUUAAAGGUACCCGUACCGCAAACCGACACAGGUGGGUGAGGAGAGUAUCCUAAGGCCAGCGAGAGAACUGUUGUUAAGGAACUCGGCAAAAUGACCCCGUAACUUAGGGAUAAGGGGUGCCACCAUCAGGUGGCCGCAGAGAAUAGGCCCAAGCGACUGUUUACCAAAAACAUAGGUUUCUGCUAAGUCGCAAGACGAUGUAUAGGAGCUGACGCCUGCCCGGUGCUGGAAGGUUAAGGGGAUCUGUUAGAGCAAUCGAAGCAGUGAACUUAAGCCCCAGUAAACGGCGGCCGUAACUAUAACGGUCCUAAGGUAGCGAAAUUCCUUGUCGGGUAAGUUCCGACCCGCACGAAAGGCGUAACGAUUUGGGCACUGUCUCAACAACAGACUCGGUGAAAUUGUAAUUCCGGUGAAGAUGCCGGAUACCUGCGACAGGACGGAAAGACCCCAUGGAGCUUUACUGUAGCUUGACAUUGGGUCUUGGUACUACAUGUACAGGAUAGGUG
rnacentral:rRNA from 1 species